rnacentral:misc_RNA from 1 species
GACGAAGAACGUAGCGAAAUGCGAUAAGUAGUGUGAAUUGCAGAAUUCAGUGAAUCAUCGAAUCUUUGAACGCACAUUGCGCCCCUUGGUAUCCCGAGGGGCAUGCCUGUUCGAGCGUCAUUUCACCACUCAAGCCUGGCUUGGUGUUGGGCGACGUCCUCUUUGGGGACGCGCCUCGAAACGCUCGGCGGCGUGGCACCGGCUUUAAGCGUAGCAGAAUCUUUCGCUUUGGAAGUCGGGGCCCCGUCUGCCGGAAGACCUGCUCGCAAGGUUGACCUCGGAUCAGGCAGGGAUACCCGCUGAACUUAAGCAUAUCAAUAAGCGGAGGA